rnacentral:ncRNA from 2 species
CUGAAUAAUGGCGAUGGGGUUCGCCAAUCAAUAACCGCCGCAGCCUCGUGGAAGGUUGCGGCUGAUGACCCCUACCUUUGG